GGGGACUAAUAAGAGGUAGUCGUGGAUCGAGCGGGGUGGAACGAGGCUGCAGAACAGGACUGCGUUCGCUAAGGCUCUGACGAGUCGUGGCUGAACGACGACAUUAUCAACAUACAGCUGGCUGGUUAUUUGGAGUAUUGGCAGGACAGAACAGCGACGUCUGAAUAUUGCCUCACAAAAUGGAACCAGCAACCAACCGAGACAUCUCCCAAAUGGUCAGUGAACAGGGAGACCUAUCUCGCCAACACCACGAUCAGCUGGCGCAACUGGGGAUGGUGAUGGAUGAGGUCUUCCGCCUUCUUCAACAUCUAGAUCUUCCCCACAGGGCAUCACCCCAAUGAGCGGAGGAUCCUCUACCAUGGGUUGACCGAGCGAGCCAGCAGCCCAGCACAUUCAGCAGUCUGCCCAGGUCAGCGAUGCCCAUUUGUCCCUUCCAGACAGAUUUGACGGGACCCCAUCCAAAUGCCGUGGCUUCCUUCUCCAGUUUUCCCUCUAUUUCCUCAUAAAAUGGGAGCCCCCACCACCGAGAUGUCCAAGGCUGCCACGGAUAUUUCACUGUUGACUGGGCUGGUGUUGGAAUGGGCUACGGCCGUCUGGGAGAGCGGAGAGGAGAAGCCUGG
rnacentral:lncRNA from 1 species